UUUUAUUUGAUUUGUACAGCUUUAAACACUCAUUAUUUCUGGCUUUCAUUGUCUAUUAUUUCUUUCUUUAAUUAGGUUGUAAAACAGUCUAUAAAUAGAGACUGUAAUCACAUUUGUAAUAUAUCUCAGAAAUAUAUUUCUUCUAUUUCUUUCCACUUGGUAUCAGAGCCAUUUCGAGCCUAUCCUAGCGAGUGUUUGUGUUGGGCCUAUCGUGCCACCCGCUAUCGGGCCGCUAUCGGACC
rnacentral:lncRNA from 1 species